rnacentral:rRNA from 1 species
UACGGGGGGGGCAAGCGUUGUUCGGAAUUACUGGGCGUAAAGGCUCGUAGGUGGCCAACUAAGUCAGACGUGAAAUCCCUCGGCUUAACCGGGGAACUGCGUCUGAUACUGGAUGGCUUGAGUUCGGGAGAGGGAUGCGGAAUUCCAGGUGUAGCGGUGAAAUGCGUAGAUAUCUGGAGGAACACCGGUGGCGAAGGCGGCAUCCUGGACCGACACUGACACUGAGGAGCGAAAGCCAGGGGAGCAAACGGG